rnacentral:rRNA from 1 species
AGGAUGAACGCUGGCGGCGUGCCUAAUACAUGCAAGUCGAGCGGUAAGGCCACUUCGGUGGUACACGAGCGGCGGACGGCUGAGUAACACGUAGGAACGUACCCCAAAGUGAGGCAUAAGCACCAGAAAUGGUGUCUAAUACCGCAUGUGGCCUAACAGGCUAAAGCUCCGGCGCUUUGGGAACGGCCUGCGCAUGAUUAGCUUGUUGGUGAGGUAAAAGCUCACCAAGGCAGUGAUCAUUAGCUGGUCUGAGAGGAUGACCAGCCAGACUGGGACUGAGAACGGCCCAGACUCCUACGGGAGGCAGCAGUAGGGAAUUUUCCACAAUGGGCGAAAGCCUGAUGGAGCAACGCCGCGUGCAGGAUGAAGGCUCUAGGGUCGUAAACUGUCUUUAUCUGUGACGAAUAUGACGGUAGCAGAUGAAUAAGGAUCGGCUAACUCCGUGCCAGCAGCCGC